CAUCUAUAGUUGCAGGAAGUGAGUGAGAAGAAGAAGAUGCUCCAGCAGCUCUGUGGCGAUGUCUUCUUGAAUCAGCCAUGGAGGAAGUUUAAGGUAGUGAGGCUUUGAGAAAGUGAGAAGAAAUGGAGAGGAUUUUAGCUCUAGAUUUGAUUUCAGCAAUAUCUGGGUGCAAAAGAGUGACUAAUAAUCGAUUAUAGGGGGCUAUUUAUAAGAAAAAUGGAAAAACUAGUCGUUUAUAGCCGUUAUGGGACGCUCCAACGACUCUAUUUUUGAAACCGUUAGCGUGAUAAUCAAUUAUGGCUCGAGAUAAUCGAUUAUCUUCUCAAGAAUCACUGCCCAGAAAUUGCAUGAUAGUCGAUUAUGCCUGAUGAUAAUCGAUUAUCUCCUCAUAGUUUCCAGAUUUUGAGUUUGGAUGUUGAAUAAUCGAUUAUUACCUUGUUAUAAUCAAUUAAAAUCGCUAUACUUGCAAAAUUUCAAGAAAAAUCAUAAAAUUUGAUCCUAAGAUAUAUCUAACACUCCUAGCUCUCUUCUAAGCUCAUAAAAUUUAUCCUUAGGUUGUGCCUUGGUGAAAAUAUCAGCUAAUUGAUGUAAGGUAUCAACAUAUUCAAUUUGACAGUCCCCC
rnacentral:lncRNA from 1 species